rnacentral:rRNA from 1 species
GUUGAACGCUGGCGGCGUGCCUAACACAUGCAAGUCGAGCGGAUGAAGGGAGCUUUCGCCUCUCUGCAGCUACGGACGGGUGAGUAAUUCCUAGGAAGCUGCCUUGUAUUUGAGGGUGAGGUCCGUUAACGGGCGCUGAGACCGCAUACGUCCUUAUGUAGAAAGUGGUGGAUCUUCGGACCUCACGCGAUCAGAUGACCCUAAGUCGGAUUAGCUAGUUGGUUGGGUAAGGGCGUACCAAGGCGACGAUCCGUAACUGAGCUGAGAGGAUGAUCAGUCACACUGGAACUGAGACACGGUCCAGACUCCUACGGGAGGCAGCAGUAGGGAAUCUUGCACAAUGGGCGAAAGCCUGACCGAGCCACGCCGCGUGUGUGAAGAAGGUCUUCGGAUCGUAAAGCUCUUUUAGUUGGGAAGAAGGAAAGUAAAUUAAUCUAUUGCUGUCUUGACGUUACCAAAAGAAAAAGCCACGGCUAACUUCGUG